UCAUCUAGCGGUUGUUUUUAACAAUUUAGACGAUUGUCCAGUCUGCCGCUAGAUGGUGUGUAUUGUUUUUAAAAUGGCGAAAUGUGUGAAGAGUUUUGUCAUCUUCUGUUUUCGAAUUUUCAUGUUUUACUGCCCAAAAUCAACCAAUUAUUUACAUAAAAUAUACCUGCCGUCUAGUCAUCAGAUUAAAUUUGGACUCCAUUAAAAAAAACCAAUUGCUCAACCCUUCUGUGACUCACUCGCUCAGCUUCAUCUGCAUCAUCCUCUCACAUCUUAGACAAAACUGCAAGCUGUUAUGCCCAAAAGUUGUGGCAUUGGAUAUACAGUUACAGGUUCCUUCUUGCCUUACACCUUUAAACACUUAGUGGGGUUGUUGUGUCAUGAAAUUGUAUUGCUGCCAUUUUUUCUGCAUCUCCCACUUCAUAGCUACAAGAAACGAGCCUACAACAGAAAAAAAGCCUACAACAGAUUGAGA